rnacentral:rRNA from 1 species
GUGAGGAAUAUUGGUCAAUGGGCGGGAGCCUGAACCAGCCAAGUCGCGUGAAGGAAGAAGGAUCUAUGGUUCGUAAACUUCUUUUGCAGGGGAAUAAAGUGCAGGACGUAUCCUGUUUUGUAUGUACCCUGAGAAUAUGGAUCGGCUAACUCCGUGCCAGCAGCCGCGGUAAUACGGAGGAUCCGAGCGUUAUCCGGAUUUAUUGGGUUUAAAGGGUGCGUAGGUGGUUUGAUAAGUCAGCGGUGAAAGUUUGCAGCUUAACUGUAAAAAUGCCGUUGAAACUGUCGGACUUGAGUGUAAAUGAGGUAGGCGGAAUGCGUGGUGUAGCGGUGAAAUACAUAGAUAUCACGCAGAACUCCGAUUGCGAAGGCAGCUUACUAAGCUACAACUGACACUGAAGCACGAAAGCGUGGGGAUCAAACAGGAUUAGAUACCCGAGUAGUCC